CGGAGCAGCUGAAACGAUCGCUGGAUAAAUCCAGAGGAAAGUCCGAACACCACAGGGCAGGGUGCUCCAUAACAUGGAGUCGCGAUAACGCGAAGGAAAGUGCAACAGAAAGUAAACCGCCCACUCCUUAUUUCUCAUAUUUUGGGGAAUUAGGGUGGGUAAGGGUGAAACGGUGCGGUAAGAGCGCACCAGUUCUUCGGGUGACCGGAGAAGCUCGGUAAACCCCACCCGGUGCAAGACCAAAUAGGGGAGCGUUUGAGGGUGGCCCAUCCAAGCUCCCGGGUAGGUCGCAAGAGGUGCCGGGUAACCGGUACCCGCAGAUGAAUGAUCGUUACCUGGUUCGGAGUAAUCCGCACCGGGUACAGAAUUCGGCUUAUUGGCUGCUUUGGCCG
rnacentral:RNase_P_RNA from 1 species